UUUAAGUGUAUAAUUCAGUGGUUUUUAGUAUACUCACAGAAAUGUACAACCAUCACUGCUAUCUAAUUCCAGAAAAUUUUUAU